UACUGCACGGGCCCCCCAACCUUAGCUUCAUAAGCUAGAUGAACAGGUAAGUGCUCCAUUGAGUCAAAAAAUGCAGGAGGGAAUAUCUUCUCAAGUUUGCAGAGAGUUACCACAAUAUUUUUCUCAAGAACCUCCAUAUCUUGGACACGCAAAGUUGUGUUGCAUAAAUCUCUAAAGUAACAGCUUAAUUCUAUCAAUGCAUCCCACACUGGUGCUGGCAAUACUUCACGGAAUGCAAUUGGAAGCAAUCUCAGCAUGAAAACAUGACA
rnacentral:lncRNA from 1 species